rnacentral:rRNA from 1 species
AGCAGCCGCGGUAAUUCCAGCUCCAAUAGCGUAUAUUAAAGUUGUUGCAGUUAAAAAGCUCGUAGUUGAAUUUCGGGAUCAGUUGGUCGGUCGUGCCUCGGUACGUACUGGUCAAAUUGAUUCCUACCUUCUGACGAACCACGAUGUCAUUAAUUUGGUGUCGUGGGAAAUCAGGACUGUUACUUUGAAAAAAUUAGAGUGUUUAAAGCAGGCUCGCGCUUGAAUACAUUAGCAUGGAAUAAUGAAAUAGGACGUUUGAUUCUAUUUUGUUGGUUUCUAGGAUCGACGUAAUGAUUAAUAGGGAUAGUUGGGGGCAUUAGUAUUCAAUUGUCAGAGGUGAAAUUCUUGGAUUUAUUGAAGACUAACUACUGCGAAAGCAUUUGCCAAGGAUGUUUUCAUUAAUCAAGAACGAAAGCUAGGGGAUCGAAGACGAUCAGAUACCGUCGUAGUCUUAACCAUAAACUAUGCCGACUAGGGAUCGGAUGAUGUUAAUUUUUAAUGUACUCAUUCGGCGCCUUAC